rnacentral:lncRNA from 1 species
UGAAAUGCCAUUAGAGACAAUUGGAUGAUGCUAAAAAAUGGUGAAAAAAAAAUAGGGAAAAGAAAAAAAUACGCGUGUUGAAGCCGUUGAGGGUAUGGUACUUGUAGACGGAGGCAAAGAAGGAGAUGGAGGCGAGAAAAAGCGCGGCGGUCGGCGGCGGUGAGGGACAGGGCGGCGGCCGGCGGAGGUGAGGAAAAAGGCGGCGGCCAACGAAGGCGAGGAAAAGGGCGGCGACCGGCGGAGGUAAGGAAAUGGGCGGCGGCCAGCGGAGGCGAGGAAAAGGGAGUUUUGGGAUUGUGAUUUGGAGCGGUUAGAGUUUUGCAAAAGAAAGCUAAGCUGCUAAAUAUAGUUGGGUUUUUUUGUAAAUAUAUUAACUUUCANAAAGCGCGGCGGUCGGCGGCGGUGAGGGACAGGGCGGCGGCCGGCGGAGGUGAGGAAAAAGGCGGCGGCCAACGAAGGCGAGGAAAAGGGCGGCGGCUGGCGAAGGGGAGAAAAUGGGCGGCGGUCGGUCGUGUUGGGGGAGAAGGAGUUUUGGGAUUGUGAUUUGGAGCGGUUAGAGUUUUGCAAAAGAAAGCUAAGCUGCUAAAUAUAGUUGGGUUUUUUUGUAAAUAUAUUAACUUUCAGGGAUAUUUUAAAGAAAUAUAUAAAUGGUUUUCGGGGCGGAUCAAAAAUUUUUCCGUUUCCUGCUCCGAAUCAGCCUCAUAUCAUAAAAAUUGCCUUGUUUCUUGCCCCGAAUCCGUUUAUUUUCUCCAGUUUACUGCCCCAU